CAGGGGAUUUGAUUGCUAAUUCUGAGCUAAAGCUCCUAUGCAGAAAAGACCCAGAAGAAGACCAGAACUUGAAUGAAACAGGAUUUGAGCCUUAUAGGAACAAAAGAAAGGUUAGAGAAGAAUGUUUAGAACAACUUUGCAGAAGCCAAAUCAGCAGCUCCCAGCCUCUGCACUCCAGCCAUCCCACUGCUCUCCAGCGGCGCUUCCCUGCAAAACCCACCCAAUCAAUUCUACAUCUGUACCAACAAGCAACCAAGAAACAGGGGAGUAGGAAGAUUGUUCAUCUAAUCUACAGAGAAGCCAGAACACCCUGUGGAGGACUUACUAAUGAGGCUGAAACUUAAGAGUUCAGAGAAGAGAAGAUGAUUUGGAGCAGAGGACCAACAUGGAUGUCCAAGU